rnacentral:rRNA from 1 species
UACGGUAGGGUGCAAGCGUUGUCCGGAAUUAUUGGGCGUAAAGAGCUCGUAGGCGGUUUGUCACGUCUGCUGUGAAAACUGGAGGCUCAACCUCCAGCUUGCAGUGGGUACGGGCAGACUAGAGUGCGGUAGGGGAGAUUGGAAUUCCUGGUGUAGCGGUGGAAUGCGCAGAUAUCAGGAGGAACACCGAUGGCGAAGGCAGAUCUCUGGGCCGUAACUGACGCUGAGGAGCGAAAGCGUGGGGAGCGAACAGG